rnacentral:rRNA from 1 species
GUGGAUGCCUUGGCACUGAGAGGCGAUGAAGGACGUAGCACGUUGCGAUAAGCCACGGGGAGGCGCGAGCAC